UACGAGGGGUGCAAGUGUUGUUCCUAAUGACUGGGCGUUAAGGGUAUGUAGAUUGUAAUUUAAGUUUGAUAGUUAAGUUUAUAAGCUAUUAAAUACUAUUUUACUAGAAUACUAUUUAAGAUAUUAGAACUGUUAGUUCAAGGUUUAAAUCUGAAGAUAAGCAGGAAUGUCAAUGGCGAAAGCAUUUAUCUAUUUAGUAUUGACAUUAAGGUACGAAGGCAUGGGGAUCAAACGGG
rnacentral:rRNA from 1 species